rnacentral:lncRNA from 1 species
CACAACAUAAAGUUGAAAGAAAACCAUUACCUCUUUUUCCGAUCUCUCUCUCUUUGUUUGAAUCCGGUCCGGUUCUCCUCCCCUUUUUCCGGUUCGGUUUGCUCCUCUCCUUUUUCCGGUUCGGUUUGGAUCUGUUUGUACAGUUUGGAUGAUGAUGAUUUGUGUGGUUGUAUGGGCUGAUUUGAUGUUUUUGUUUAAGUUUUGUGUUGCUGGAUUUUGAUGAAUCUAUGAAUGUUCUUCAUGAGUUCAUGUUAUUUCUUUGUAAUUUUAGUGUUUGAUCUGAAAACUGGUUGGAAAAAUGGAAAAAUAGGGUUUGUGAAUUGA